AUACGUAGGGGGCAAGCGUUGUCCGGAAUGACUGGGCGUAAAGGGCGUGUAGGCGGCUGCUUAAGUCUGAUGUGAAAUACCCAUUUUUAAGGUGGGUCGUGCAUUGGAAACUGAGUAGCUUGAGUGCGGAAGAGGUAAGUGGAAUUCCAUGUGUAGCGGUGAAAUGCGUAGAGAUAUGGAGGAACACCAGUGGCGAAGGCGGCUUCCUGGUCUGCAACUGACGCUGAGGCUCGAAAGCAUGGGUAGC
rnacentral:rRNA from 1 species